UACGUAGGGGGCUAGCGUUGUCCGGAAUCAUUGGGCGUAAAGAGCGUGUAGGCGGCCCGGUAAGUCCGCUGUAAAAGUCAAAGGCUCAACCUUUGAAUGUCAGUGGAUACUGCCGGGCUAGAGUCCGGAAGAGGCGAGUGGAACUCCUGGUGUAGCGGUGGAAUGCGCAGAUAUCAGGAAGAACACCAACGGCGAAGGCAGCUCGCUGGGACGGUACUGACGCUGAGGCACGAAAGUCAGGGGAGCAAACGGG
rnacentral:rRNA from 1 species